rnacentral:misc_RNA from 1 species
AAGUCGUAACAAGGUUUCCGUAGGUGAACCUGCGGAAGGAUCAUUACCAUAGUGUUUGACACAACUGAAGCCCUGCGCUUUCCAACGAGAAUAGCAGGCACAACAACCCAUGAGCAAGUGCAGCGCGGUUCCGCGUUGUACGAGGGAAAGAGAAUCAUGCUGAUAUGAGUGAAUCUUUCUAGCGCCGUUCCCCCAACGAUGCUUGCGCGUCGGCGGGGAGCUCUGAGGACGGACUCGGUGACUUUCACCGAAACCCUGUGCUUGAAAAGGAAUAAACAAUGCAGUACAACUGCAAACGGUGGAUCACUCGGCUC